rnacentral:rRNA from 1 species
UACGGAGGGAGCUAGCGUUGUUCGGAAUUACUGGGCGUAAAGGGCGCGUAGGCGGUGGUGUAAGUCAGAUGUGAAAACCAUCGGCUUAACCGAUUGGAUUGCAUUUGAUACUGCAUCACUUGAGUUCAGUAGAGGAGAGUGGAAUUCCCAGUGUAGCGGUGGAAUGCGUAGAUAUUGGGAAGAACACCAGUGGCGAAGGCGGCUCUCUGGACUGACACUGACGCUGAGGCGCGAAAGCUAGGGGAGCGAACAGG